rnacentral:misc_RNA from 1 species
UUGCAGCUCGAGCGCGAUGGU